GUGGGGAAUCUUCCGCAAUGGACGAAAGUCUGACGGAGCGACGCCGCGUGAGGGAUGAAGGUUUUCGGAUCGUAAACCUCUGUCAGAAGGGAAGAAACUACGUUGUGCUAAUCAGCAGCGUACUGACGGUACCUUCAAAGGAAGCACCGGCUAACUCCGUGCCAGCAGCCGCGGUAAUACAGAGGUCUCAAGCGUUGUUCGGAAUUAUUGGGCGUAAAGGGCGCGUAGGCGGGAAGGUGUGUCGACCUGUAAAUCUAUCGUUUCAAGCGGUAGGCUUGGGUUGAAACUGCCUUUCUAGAGGAUUUCAGGGGAGUUUGGAAUUUACGGUGUAGUAGUGAAAUGCGUGGAUAUCGUAAGGAAGGCUUGUGGCGAAGGCGAAACUCUGGGGAAUACCUGACGCUGAGGCGCGAAGGCUAGGUUAGCAAACGGGAUUAGGAACCCUUGUAGUCC
rnacentral:rRNA from 1 species